GAAUUUCUGGACUGCAGCCCUGGCCUGUGGCUCUGGAAUCCUUGCAUUUCUCUCUUCACAAAGGUGUUCUGCACUUCCUGAGGAAGAUCAUUGCCCUGAAGGAUGAGCUUUAUACCCAUUCCAUCACUCAGGGAAACCUCUUGGCACCCCUUUUGCAGGCUCUGCUGGACGAUGGAGCUACAUCCAACCUGCUCCACUGGGCUGUGCUGGAGCUCUUUGAACUCCUCAGACUGGUGAGUUCAGCAGCAGCUCCAGCUCGGACACGGCCAUGGCCUCUCAGCUCAACAGGCCCAGUGCAGCCUCCCGCUUCAAUGCAAGUGUCACAAACAGCCUCGGACACGACUGACUCUGGUGUCCCUUGCCAUGGGAAGAGGAAUCCUUCUUUCCAGAUUUCAGUUCUUGCCUUCGGGAUCAAUCUGAAUUGCUUCACAAUUGCUCCGGACAAAAGUGUUUUAGCUCUGGCCAAGGAAUCUGUUCCUUUGCAAAGGAAACUUGGAAGCUUUCUGAACUUCGGCCUGUGACCACUGGAGACUUGAGACCGUGUUUUGUUCCUCCACAGGAAGACUGUAAAUCCCUGGUUGCCCACAUCAUUGAGAACUUCUGUCCUGUACUGGAAUGCAUCACCUAGGUGCAGGCAUUCCAGGGAUUGGAAAGAAAAUAUGAGAGAGACAAGCACCGGCAAAUGCGGAGUGUGCACAGAGACCUCAACCAGUGGAGUCUGCUGAUGAUCAACAAGAAGCAGUUCCAAAGAAAAGACUGCAUCUGGCCUAAGGAAGGAAACCCCACAUUUUGGGGUUUUCAGACUAGGAACUGUUGGAUGUUAAAUAGUUUUAGUUUGUAUUGGGUUUAGCUUUUGAUUGUUAAAAGAUUUGCUGUUUUCUGUAGAUAGAUAAGUUGGUAAAGUUUGUUCAAGAAGGAGAAGUUUGCUUUCUGUUCAAGUUCCCAAUAAAAUUGUUUGAGCUUGUUCAAAAAUAGGUGUUAAGA